UUGAAAGAGAACAUUUGAACCCCCUAAAACAACAGGAUCGCUUCCAGGUUACAGUAUUGAAAUUAGAAUCAACCACUAUUAUUACACAACAUCUCUUACCAAAUCAGAUCAUCUUCGAUAAGAAGAAUCACUGUCAACUAUUCCAGCUAUGACUUACAUCUGAAUCUCAAUAGCACAACUCGAGCUAGCAUCAACCUUAUCAAUCUUCCUGGACACUUCUCGACCACUGGAUCCUUAACACCUCUGACUCCUCGCCUAGCCUUAACUUUACUCGCAAUCAUAGACUAGCCAUUCAUCUUUAAUCCUUUCUGAAAUGGUUAAAAGAGAAUAGCAAGAGUGAGCAACAAUGCUCAGCAAGUAAUAAUAACAAUGAAAGUUCUGAAGUGAUAUAGCAGAAAUUCUCGAGUUCAAGAUAUAAAAAGAUUCAACCUGAGUUCACAAAUUCAGGUAUUGUAUAAAAGAAUCACAAUACCUUGCAGCAAUAGAAACCUGAGGAAUUCAAUCCUUCACAAGAGAAUUAUUGAAUUGGACUAUCACAUUUUAAUUAAAAACCAAGGUUAGGAUGCUGAUCAGUCAUACCUAACCCCGAGCAGGCCCCGCCAUGCUCUAUCACUGGAUCCAAGGCACUCAUUGGCCUAUCAUGACCACUCAUUUGGUCUGACCACUCAUCUGGUCCACAUGUUUAUAUAAAAACAAUAAUCCAAUUCUCUAAUUCAAUUCAAGAAGCCAAUGUAAAUUAACAGAACAUCAUCAUAAAUAUCAUCAACAACAGAAUAAUUCCAAUUCAAACUUUGAUAAUAAUCUAUUCAUAAAUCAUGAUCCAUCAUUUCAUAAAUCACAGUUCAGGAAAUCCUCAACUAUUCAGUAUCCUCCAUUAUCGGCUAAGCAACUGAAUUUAGCCUGCUAAACCAGCAUGACAAUGGCGGGUUGAAUAAUCAAGAAGAUCCCAAUUCAUUCAAAGCUCUAACUAUCACUGAGCAACACAUGCUUCAAUGACAAUCUGAACUUCGAAUUAAUUUGUAAAACGGAAAUUCUUUAGAAACUUGAAGAUUAGAAAGAAUGGGUCAGAAUACUCACACUUUCGAACAGUGAAAAGAAAAGUAUGAAUACUUGAAACAUAUACCAAAGGAAUGGAUCAGAAUAUUUGCAAUAUAUCCAAGAGAAAGGUUUAGGAUACUUGCCUUAAAUCUGACUCCAGUCUCACAUCUCAAUCUCAUCUUUCCACUUUCACAAUCUAGGCAUAUCACAGUCUCCAGACCAUCUCUGGCUAUACUCUAUUCGCCACACUACCUCGCUUACUCGAUUCAUUCUUUAUUCGCUUUGCAAUACCAUUCUGACUUUCUGAUGUCUUCAAGCGUACUCGUCACGUCCAAAUCCUUUACGAGAAUAAACAUAAUACUAUAAUCACUAAUCAAUAUAUCGCAUAUACCUAUCACGUAUAUAGAUACCCACUUAUAUACCCCUUUAAACCUAUCACAUAUCACUUAACACAUAAUCAUGCUUUGACUCUAAUAUAUAGUCAAGUCAUAUUCCACAUAACAUAUCACAAAUCAAUUAUCAUAUGAAUCCUAUCGAAAAUCCGACAUCGUCUCGUCUAUUUAUUAGACUAUCCACCUGUUAUCCUAUCUCAAUCAACAAUCAACCAACAAGAUCCAAUUACUAUAAUCCAUAUAUUCUUAUCCAAUAUCAAUCAACUCACGACACUAUGUCAUCCAAAUCUUUUAUCACACGUGUAUACUAUCAUGAAUAAACAUGUAUAUCACGUAAUCAUCAAUUAAUAGCAAUCAAAUAACAUAUAAUCACAUUGUGCACAUUUAACAACAAUUAUUCACCUUCUUGACUCAAUCAUAUUAUUAUGUCAUAUUAAAAUAGACUUUAUAAGCUUUAAUCCCUUUUUCGUUUCACUUGAUUCCGACUUACGGAUCAAAAGAUAUGUUUAAAACCGUUUUCUAACUCCUCUAUCGGCACAUAAGACAUCCAACCAAUAGCAGACAACACAUUACACCUAAGGUUUCCCACCCCAAUAGAGGUCAAAUCAAAUCUUGAGUUCAAAAUGAUUUUUCGGGAAUUUUCCAGAAUUUUUAAACAUUUUUCGGAAUUAAAAUCGAUAAAAGAAUCACUUUUCGGAUAAAUAAUCAAGUCCCAAAUACUUGAAAUUGGACUUGAAAUCAUUCAUAACCAAUUAUCGAGCCUUGAAUAUAAUUUGGAAAAAUAUUUUAAAGCUCGAAACUAUUUUUCGGAAUUUUUAAAUCAAAAGGAAUAAUUAAAUCCAAUUAAUUAAUCAAUUAAAAUCAAUUAAUAAUUAAUUAAAAUAAUUAAUCAAUUAAUAUUUAAAUUAAUUGACCAAUUAAAAUAAUUAAUUACUAAUUAAAAUUAAUUAACAAACUAAUUUAGAUUUAUUUUUGAAUAAAGAAAUAAUUAAAAACUAUUUUUGAAAUUUAAAAUAAUUAAAUAAAACAAUUUUAGAAAAUUAAAUCAAAAGGUUUAUUUUGUAAACUUUUGAAAGUUUUGUCCAGGGUUUAAAGUGUAACUUUCAGAAGUUUCAGGGGCUGAAAUGCAAACUUUGAAACCACAGUACCUCAGCUUCAUCAUUCUCAAAAGCUGAGGUACCUAACUGUAAUUUUACGCCGGCCACCGACAAACUCGCCGGAUUUAUGCCGGAAUUAAUUUUCAGUGCCCAGAACUCCACCCAAAGCUCCAGAUCACUCACACACACUCCUAGCAUCGUAUACACAUACUCAUAAUCAUCAGAGGCCGUAGGAAUUGGCCGGAAAAUGGAGCAAAAACUCCGCCGGCGGCGGCUUUCUUGAAGCUUCCGGCGAAGCCGACUUCGGCGUCCCCCACUCAAACCAACACCACCACCGGAUUCCUCUCUUCACACUCUUUCUAAUGGUAUAAGCCAUGCACACCCAGAAUCAACAGAAAGGAAACCCCCAAAUUUCAAUUGAAAAGCUUCAAGAACAUUCAAGAACACAUCCAAAUAAUCAAAACCACUUUUCUAUAUGUUUCCGAACUCGAAAUUCAACAUAUAAUAUACCAAAACGACGAGAAAAACACGUUCUACAACAUGGAAUCAUCCAAACAAUCAAACAAACACGUUUGCAAAAAUCCACUAUUUAAAUCAUAAUAAUUCGAAAUUAAAAACCUCAAUUACUCCCUACCUGUGAAUCUCAUGUUGUUUUUGAUGGUUGAUUUGAGUUCUACUCUUCGAUAUCUUCGAUUUGACUAUUUGCACGCUUGAUUCUGACUCCAAUAACACCUUCAAAUCUUCGUUUGAUUAUGAAGAACACGAAGAACACCGCUCGGUUUCUCUCGGUAUUCGUGGAAAGAAACUGGUGAAAUGAUUUUACGGGUGAAAAUAAGCUCUAGAAAGGUCUAUUUAUAUUUACAAAUAAUUGGUACCCCUUUGGAUCGUUUAUGACAUGAAAAUAC
rnacentral:lncRNA from 1 species